UACGUAGGGGGCUAGAGUUGUCCGGAUUUACUGGGUGUAAAGGGUGCUCAGGUGGAUUUGUAAGUCAGAGGUGAAAUUCCAAAGCUUAACUUUGGAGCUGCCUUUGAUACUGCAAGUCUAGAGUUUGAGAGAGGGUAAUGGAAUAUCUGGUGUAGCAGUGAAAUGCGUAGAUAUCAGAUAGAACACCAAUGGCGAAGGCAGUUACCUGGCUCAAAAACUGACGCUAAAAGCACGAAAGUGUGGGGAGCAAAACAGG
rnacentral:rRNA from 1 species